UACGGAGGGGGCAAGCGUUGUUCGGAAUUACUGGGCGUAAAGGGCGCGUAGGCGGUCUGUCGCGUCAGGUGUGAAAGCCCCGGGCUCAACCUGGGAGGUGCACUUGAUACGGGCGGGCUGGAGUCCGAGAGAGGUGAGUGGAAUUCCCAGUGUAGAGGUGAAAUUCGUAGAUAUUGGGAAGAACACCAGUGGCGAAGGCGGCUCACUGGCUCGGAACUGACGCUGAGGCGCGAAAGCGUGGGGAGCAAACAGG
rnacentral:rRNA from 1 species